rnacentral:rRNA from 1 species
AUUGAACGCUGGCGGCAGGCUUAACACAUGCAAGUCGAGCGGAGCGAGGGUGCUUGCACCUUAGCUUAGCGGCGGACGGGUGAGUAAUGCUUAGGAAUCUGCCUAUUAGUGGGGGACAACAUUCCGAAAGGAAUGCUAAUACCGCAUACGCCCUACGGGGGAUAGCAGGGGAUCUUCGGACCUUGCGCUAAUAGAUGAGCCUAAGUCGGAUUAGCGAGUUGGUGGGGUAAAGGCCUACCAAGGCAACGAUCUGUAGCGGGUCUGAGAGGAUGAUCCGCCACACUGGGACUGAGACACGGCCCAGACUCCUACGGGAGGCAGCAGUGGGGAAUAUUGGACAAUGGGCGGAAGCCUGAUCCAGCCAUGCCGCGUGUGUGAAGAAGGCCUUUUGGUUGUAAAGCACUUUAAGCGAGGAGGAGGCUCUUAAGGUUAAUACCCUUAAUGAGUGGACGUUACUCGCAGAAUAAGCACCGGCUAACUCUGUGCCAGCCGCCGCCGUAACAC